rnacentral:lncRNA from 1 species
UAAACGGACAUAAAAAAAUAUCAUUCUAUACGUUUAUUUAUAUACGUGUUGAAAAAUUAAAUACCGCUUAAAAUAUGAACGAGUACAAUAGAUUAUUAAAAGAUUCCAAAAAUGUAUUAAAGGACACAUGUGAACCAAAAAAGCAAAGAACUCUAAACCAGUGAUGGGCCGUAUUCACAUAUCAUGUCAUCUUUCUUAUUCGACGAAGAAAGAUGCCUGCUGUUGGAACCAAUCAAAGCCUGCGUCUUGUUUUUGUCCUUUGAAGCAGCAAGGGCAAAAAUGGGAUAUUAUCAUGAUUCUGUGAUAAUCUAGUUGUAUUCUAUUUUAAGUGAGGCUGGGGAUUGUAGCUGUGAGCCUGUGACCAGAAGCAGGUCACACCCUCUUGGGAGUAUCAUAUAUUUUUACAUACACAAACGCGAAAAUACGCACCACGGUUCCAAUAUUUUUUUUGACUCAUCUAUAUGGGGAUUGGGGAAGGUCUUUUCAUCUCCAACUUUGCCUAAUCUAAUCUUCAGUCAAUGAGAAAAGCAGUUCAAUGGUUUCGAUAAAGUCGAA